AGGACGAACGCUGGCGGCGUGCUUAACACAUGCAAGUCAAGGGGGCCCAGUAGCAAUACUGGGCAACCGGCGAACGGGUGCGUAACACGUGAGCAACCUACCGAAAUGUGGGGGAUAGCCGGCCUAACGGCCGAGUAAUACCGCAUACGCUCUCGAUGAGGCAUUUCAUUGAGAGGAAACCUACGGGACAUCUCGAGGGGCUCGCGGCCUAUCAGCUAGUUGGCGAGGUAACGGCUCACCAAGGCAACGACGGGUAG
rnacentral:rRNA from 1 species